rnacentral:rRNA from 1 species
GAUGAACGCUAGCGGCAGGCUUAACACAUGCAAGUCGAGGGGCAGCAAGGGUAGCAAUACCUGUUGGCGACCGGCAAACGGGCGCGGAACACGUACGCAAUUUACCCUGGUCUGGGGGAUAGCCCGGAGAAAUCCGGAUUAACACCCCAUAAGAUAUUAGAGUGGCAUCACUUAGAUAUUAAAUCUCCGGAGGACCGGGAUGAGCGUGCGUCCCAUUAGCUAGUUGGCGGGGUAAAGGCCCACCAAGGCGACGAUGGGUAGCUGGUGUGAGAGCACGACCAGCCACACGGGCACUGAGACACGGGCCCGACUCCUACGGGAGGCAGCAGUGAGGAAUAUUGGUCAAUGGACGCAAGUCUGAACCAGCCAUGCCGCGUGAAGGAUGAAGGCCUUCUGGGUUGUAAACUUCUUUUAUUAGGGAAGAAAAUUAUGGUUUCUACUAUAACCGACGGUACCAAGGAAUCAGCACCGGCUAACUCCGUGCCA